AGUGAACGCUGGCGGCAGGCCUAACACAUGCAAGUCGAGCGGCAGCGCGGGGGCAACCCUGGCGGCGAGCGGCGGACGGGUGAGGAAUUCGUCGGAAUCUGCCUUUUUGUGGGGGAUAACGUAGGGAAACUUACGCUAAUACCGCAUACGUCCUACGGGAGAAAGUGGGGGACCGCAAGGCCUCACGCAGAAAGAUGAGCCGACGACCGAUUAGCUAGUUGGUGGGGUAAAGGCCCACCAAGGCGACGAUCGGUAGCUGGUCUGAGAGGAUGAUCAGCCACACUGGAACUGAGACACGGCCCAGACUCCUACGGGAGGCAGCAGUGGGGAAUAUUGGACAAUGGGCGCAAGCCUGAUCCAGCCAUGCCGCGUGUGUGAAGAAGGCCUCCGGGUUGUAAAGCACUUUUGUCCGGAAAGAAAUCCCUGGAGCUAAUACCUUCGGGGGAUGACGGUACCGGAAGAAUAAGCACCGGCUAACUUCGUG
rnacentral:rRNA from 1 species